ACAGCAGUAGCCGCGGUAAUACGUAGGUCCCGAGCGUUGUCCGGAUUUAUUGGGCGUAAAGCGAGCGCAGGCGGUUAGAUAAGUCUGAAGUUAAAGGCUGUGGCUUAACCAUAGUACGCUUUGGAAACUGUUUAACUUGAGUGCAGAAGGGGAGAGUGGAAUUCCAUGUGUAGCGGUGAAAUGCGUAGAUAUAUGGAGGAACACCGGUGGCGAAAGCGGCUCUCUGGUCUGUAACUGACGCUGAGGCUCGAAAGCGUGGGGAGCAAACAGGAUUAGAUACCCCAGUAGUCCCUGUCUCUUAUACA
rnacentral:rRNA from 1 species